GCCAUCGUCGCUUAAUCCGGUAUAGCGCAGGAUUGCUAAUCCUGUUCCGUAAGGAAUUCCCGGUUCAAAUCCGGGCGAUGGCG
rnacentral:tRNA from 1 species